rnacentral:rRNA from 1 species
CCCUUAGAUGUUCUGGGCCGCACGCGCGCUACACUGACUACUUCAACGAGUUGUUUCCUUGAUCGAAAGGUCUGGGUAAUCUUUGAAAGGUAGUCGUGAUGGGGAUAGAUCCUUGCAAUUUUUGAUCUUCAACGAGGAAUUCCUAGUAAACGCAAGUCAUCAGCUUGCAUUGAUUACGUCCCUGCCCUUUGUACACACCGCCCGUCGCCCCUACCGAUUGAAUGGUCCGGUGAAUCUUUAGGACUGUGGCUGAGGCCUUGCCUUGUGCGGGUCUGGCCGUGGGAAUUUAGUUAAACCUUACCAUUUAGAGGAAGGUGAAGUCGUAACA